rnacentral:piRNA from 1 species
UCCCUAUGGUGUCUUGACUCAGCCCAGCU